GUCCGGGUGGUGCAGUGGUUAACACAACUGCCUAGUAAGCAGGAGAUCCUGGGUUCGAGUCCCGGUCCAGCACU